CGUCGUCUGAUGAUUCACACAUAAUCAUAGUGUAACGUGUAAAACGCACACAAUAUGAGCUUCUUAUGCAAUUGAUUAUUCGUCCCUAAAAUAUUACGUUAUCGGAAACUUUAUUUAUAUAUCGUUCUUCGCCCGUUUCCCCUGGAACUUAACCUCGAAAAAUUUUGUUCAAGAAGCAUUUUCAAAUCCAUUCUAAUGACUGGUCACAGGCACGUGACGUGACAUCACACAUAUAACUACAGUUCGCGUUAGAUCCCCCCCCAGGAAGAGUGAUGUUUCGUCGUGAUUUCACCACAAUUGUUUACAUUUAGCGUUGAAACCGUUCAGUUUAAGGCAUCGGAUAUUGUCCUUAGCACAUUUUUACUCGUCCAUGGGAUUUAUCGACGAUGAGUUACAAGAAGUCUCACGGCUCUGUCAAAACGUUGUCGAUGGAAGCCGACUCGUUUCCUGCGUGCAAAGUAUGGUCCGAGUCGAAAUAACGAAAACAACGUUCAAGAAACUUGUUGUGUGCAUUCAGUUUCCACAGGAUUAUCCCUCGUCACCACUGUUAAUUGAGUUAAAGAGUAAGACUUUAUCUACAAAGUUGCUAGAUGGCCUAACUAAAGUCUGCGAGAAGAAGUGCAAGGGCCUCUUGAACAAAGCACAGAUAUUACCGACUUUAAAGUUCAUCAGGAGUUAUAUCGAGGAGAAUUCCCUUAUCUGCUGUUAUGAGGAGAUCUCGAUAUUGAAAGAACUCCUAACAGAUCAAGACGAGUUAAAACUAAAGCAGAAGAAUUCCACCAUUCAUUUAAUAGUAAAUCAAGGCUUAUAUUAUUUUAAAACCAAGCUUGUAGUACCAGAUAAUUAUCCCACCAGUAACGUUAGUUUGACAGAUCCUGAUACAAACUUCUCACCGUUGCUUUGCCGUUACCUGGUGGGACAAGGAAAGGAAUUAGGAAGGCAAUGUGUCGAGCCACCAUUGAAGAAACAAGCACAAAAUACACCAUUCACACCAUCCCCAUCUUUAAACACUGUUGCUUCCUUUCUCAUAAAAACUGUAAAAGCUCUUCCUCAAGAGAAUUGCCAGCUAUGCAAAGUAACCUGCUUACCAGCCAACCCAGAGGAGGUUGUGCUCGACGAAAACGCGGACCUUCACGCCGAACGACUCUAUUGUGGUCAUCUAUUCCACUUACGAUGUUUCGUGACAUUCAUGAAGACUCCGCCGUUCCAUGGGGGUAAAAAGUGUCCAAGUUGCGGGCAACGCGUGUACCAUGACAAAUGGGGAUUAAGCGACAAAUUAGCGGAAGCACGUUGGGCUCAUCAGCAAGCACGAGCAAGAGAGUUGGCGGAAGUAGAAGAGUUUUUCAAUUGAAACCACACUUCGCAUGCGGGACUGUAAAUUAGCGCAAUAUUCAACGACAAAAACCUCUUUAGGAAACAUAUGUGUGACAAUAGACUAUACAUAAGAAGACGAAGCAACUGGCAUUUUGGAUAUAAACGAAAUGCUGAAGGAUCAAGUGAGGAGAAUUGCACAUAUAAGAUAUCGACCCCAUGUGUCGCGCACGUCGAUGCGCCAUGUGAGACAGGUCAGCUUGUUCAUUGGUGCACACAAUUCUGAUACAACCUAGGUCCCUAUCUUAGACGAAUAGCGAACGUUAAGUAAACUCUCUUAAUUCCAAGUUUCCUGGUUAUUUUGUCAACGUCUCAUGUAAUACCGUUGUUUCAGCUUGAGAAUCAGAGAAAGGCGUACUCAGCGUUCAGUGCAUGCGUCUAGCACCUCUGCUAAAGUUCGGAUCAAACGUAGUAAACCCGCAAAUCUGGAAGGGAGAUCUCGUGAAUUUGAGAUCUCCGUAAGCACCAGUACUAAUACAGUAACGCUACAUCAAUAUUAUAAUUUGAUAACUCAAAGAGCGAUGUAAGUGCAAUUUAACGCGUGUUAUCCAUAACAGUUACAUUGUUGCGAUGUUACCAUUUACUUGGAUGUCUCGAUUUUCGAUGCGUUCGUUUUAAGGUUGCCGUCUAUGUGAACGUUGCGAGCUUAACUCUUUGGAAAGGGGAGGGGGCAUACUAUUUUAAGACGAAAAGUACUAGUUGCAUAGAAAUUUUAUGUAAAAAAAAAAUAACACAAAGUGAGUUCGUUUCAUUUAUAAACGAUGAAAUCGCCGUGCUUUUCAAGUUAUCUUAAUGUUUCAAAAUGGAAUGAAGAACAUUCCACGGUACAUAUAUAGGGUGAGGCACGUAAAACAGACUAUCUGAAUAACUUUGAAAAUACGCAAGAUAGGAAAAAAUGUUAAAGAAUACAGAAGUUGUAAGGUUUUGAAUGACGUAGAUCACGUAGUAAUACUAGUACGACCUUGAACAGCGUCAUCAAGAUUACAGGAAGGUCACCUUGAAUUUUUUGAAUGGAAA
rnacentral:misc_RNA from 1 species